CGACGUGCGUCACGUUAGCCUGCACGAACGCGCCCAACACCGCGAGCAUGGCCAGGCGCCCGUUCUUCACCUCCUUGGUCCUGAUCUCCUUCAACUUGUCCUCGGAUCCCGAGCCCCAUCCCAAGGGGUCGAACCACAAGCCUCCCGGGUACCCGACGUCCGUGCCCGUCAGCUUGUUGUUGGGGAAGAUGGGGUCGGUGUUCACGCUCCCCGGCCUCGCAAUGUCGGCCCACCUCCUGCUCUCGGCCCACGCCAUGAGCAGAAGCUCAACAAUGAAGAGGGUGCCCUGGUCAGCGAAGUACGUCGCGUCGCCGGCCUUGUACCACGAUGGGGUGUUCAAGAUCCCGAUCUUCGUCAGCAGCUCUGGGAUGAAGAUGCCGGCGGCGCCGAGCAUGGCCCAGCGGCAGUGCACCAGCUCAGCCUGCACCAUCCAGUUCAGACGCCCGGGCUCGGCCGCUGCACAUAUCCAUUCACCUCCGGUCAGACAUCGCACACCCCAUCCCAGACGUCGCCAUACCUACAACCACCAUCCCCAUUGCAACUGCCCUACAAUCAUUCUCUUCUUACCGAGGUCCAGGGGAUCGAAGCCGUAGUCUCCUGGAAGGCUCCCGUCCAGCCACUUCGGGGCUUCGCUACCUGGAAGCCACAGCGGCCUGUCGGUCUUGUUCCCGGUCAGGGUCGCGGACACGGUCAUGUCACCCUUGGCCGCGCCGCACACCUGAGUCGUGCGAAGAGCUCUUCCGGCCAAGAACG
rnacentral:lncRNA from 1 species